CUCCUGGAGCUGUGGGUUGCAGUCUGGCCAUGCCUCCCCUCACAUCCAGUAUACGCUUAUGAGAUUCAUGGCAGGGAAGGAACAAGAGGUCAGGACUGUUUGAUCAACUGAAAAAAAAGGCUGGGCACUAAAGACUAGUUGCAAAGAAUGGAUAAUUUCAUGGACCAUGAUGAGGAAGAUUGAAGAGGCAGAGGAAUGACAUCACUUAAUCUGGCCAGGAGGAAGAUUUGCUCCAUGUGCAUAUGUAGAUGGAUCACAUUGAUGUUGUGAGAAUUGGCAGUCAACUAGAAACCUGAAGGGAAUGUGAGGUAUUUCUGAUACAGAGUCUGACUACUGCUCAGUGAGGUUGCAAUACAAGCCCUGAAGCCAUGCUUCCUCUCAGCAUGCUGAGAAGCUCACACUAGAGACCACUGCUCUCAGCUUAUGGAGCUGGUCACUCAAGAGUAGUUGCAAAGAAUGGAUGAUGUGAUGGACCCUGUGGAGGAAGACAGACGAGGCAGAGAAAUGACAUCACUUAAUCUGGUCAGGAGGGAAUUUUGAUUCCUGAUAAUAUCUGGGUGGAUCAUAUUGAUGUCCUUGAAAUGACAGUGAACUAGAAACCUGAAGGGUAUGCUGCUAAGAGGACCAUUUGUUCAGCCCAGGCAUUCCAUAGCAGCCAGGUAUGCUGGAUGGAGAGUCAACAGCUUCUGCAGCAGCCACAGUGGCAACCCUUAGGCUCCCUGAUGACUCAGGUCAAGCUGCA